UACGGAGGGUGCAAGCGUUAUCCGGAUUCACUGGGUUUAAAGGGUGCGUAGGCGGGUAGGUAAGUCAGUGGUGAAAUCUUCGAGCUUAACUCGGAAACUGCCUUGAUACUAUCUAUCUUGAAUAUUGUGGAGGUAAGCGGAAUAUGUCAUGUAGCGGUGAAAUGCUUAGAUAUGACAUAGAACACCUAUUGCGAAGGCAGCUUACUACGCAUAUAUUGACGCUGAGGCACGAAAGCGUGGGAUCAAACAGG
rnacentral:rRNA from 1 species